rnacentral:rRNA from 1 species
UAGGGAAUCUUCCGCAAUGGACGCAAGUCUGACGGAGCAACGCCGCGUGAGUGAAGAAGGAUUUAGGUUCGUAAAACUCUGUUGUUAGAGAAGAACAGCGCAUAGAGUAACUGUUAUGCGUGUGACGGCAUCUAACCAGAAAGCCACGGCUAACUACGUGCCAGCAGCCGCGGUAAUACGUAGGUGGCAAGCGUUGUCCGGAUUUAUUGGGCGUAAAGCGAGCGCAGGCGGUCCAUUAAGCCUGAUGUGAAAGCCCCCGGCUCAACCGGGGAGGGUCAUUAGCAACUGGUUUACUUGAGUGCAGAAGAGGAGAGUGGAAUUCCAUGUGUAGCGGUGAAAUGCGUAGAUAUAUGGAGGAACACCAGUGGCGAAGGCGACUCUCUGGUCUGUAACUGACGCUGAGGUUCGAAAGCGUGGGUAGCAAACAGG